rnacentral:rRNA from 1 species
UAUGGAGAGUUUGAUCCUGGCUCAGGAUGAACGCUGGCGGCGUGCCUAAUACAUGCAAGUCGAGCGAACGGACGAGAAGCUUGCUUCUCUGAUGUUAGCGGCGGACGGGUGAGUAACACGUGGAUAACCUACCUAUAAGACUGGGAUAACUUCGGGAAACCGGAGCUAAUACCGGAUAAUAUUUUGAACCGCAUGGUUCAAAAGUGAAAGACGGUCUUGCUGUCACUUAUAGAUGGAUCCGCGCUGCAUUAGCUAGUUGGUAAGGUAACGGCUUACCAAGGCAACGAUGCAUAGCCGACCUGAGAGGGUGAUCGGCCACACUGGAACUGAGACACGGUCCAGACUCCUACGGGAGGCAGCAGUAGGGAAUCUUCCGCAAUGGGCGAAAGCCUGACGGAGCAACGCCGCGUGAGUGAUGAAGGUCUUCGGAUCGUAAAACUCUGUUAUUAGGGAAGAACAUAUGUGUAAGUAACUGUGCACAUCUUGACGGUACCUAAUCAGAAAGCCACGGCUAACUACGUGCCAGCAGCCGCGGUAAUACGUAGGUGGCAAGCGUUAUCCGGAAUUAUUGGGCGUAAAGCGCGCGUAGGCGGUUUUUUAAGUCUGAUGUGAAAGCCCACGGCUCAACCGUGGAGGGUCAUUGGAAACUGGAAAACUUGAGUGCAGAAGAGGAAAGUGGAAUUCCAUGUGUAGCGGUGAAAUGCGCAGAGAUAUGGAGGAACACCAGUGGCGAAGGCGACUUUCUGGUCUGUAACUGACGCUGAUGUGCGAAAGCGUGGGGAUCAAACAGGAUUAGAUACCCUGGUAGUCCACGCCGUAAACGAUGAGUGCUAAGUGUUAGGGGGUUUCCGCCCCUUAGUGCUGCAGCUAACGCAUUAAGCACUCCGCCUGGGGAGUACGACCGCAAGGUUGAAACUCAAAGGAAUUGACGGGGACCCGCACAAGCGGUGGAGCAUGUGGUUUAAUUCGAAGCAACGCGAAGAACCUUACCAAAUCUUGACAUCCUUUGACAACUCUAGAGAUAGAGCCUUCCCCUUCGGGGGACAAAGUGACAGGUGGUGCAUGGUUGUCGUCAGCUCGUGUCGUGAGAUGUUGGGUUAAGUCCCGCAACGAGCGCAACCCUUAAGCUUAGUUGCCAUCAUUAAGUUGGGCACUCUAAGUUGACUGCCGGUGACAAACCGGAGGAAGGUGGGGAUGACGUCAAAUCAUCAUGCCCCUUAUGAUUUGGGCUACACACGUGCUACAAUGGGCAAUACAAAGGGCAGCGAAACCGCGAGGUCAAGCAAAUCCCAUAAAGUUGUUCUCAGUUCGGAUUGUAGUCUGCAACUCGACUACAUGAAGCUGGAAUCGCUAGUAAUCGUAGAUCAGCAUGCUACGGUGAAUACGUUCCCGGGUCUUGUACACACCGCCCGUCACACCACGAGAGUUUGUAACACCCGAAGCCGGUGGAGUAACCUUUUAGGAGCUAGCCGUCGAAGGUGGGACAAAUGAUUGGGGUGAAGUCGUAACAAGGUAGCCGUAUCGGAAGGUGCGGCUGGAUCACCUCCUU